rnacentral:rRNA from 1 species
CCCUUAGAUGUCCUGGGCCGCACGCGCGUUACACUGAUGCAUUCAACGAGCUUAUAACCUUGGCCGAGAGGCCUGGGCAAUCUUGUUAACGUGCAUCGUGAUAGGGAUAGAUUAUUGAAAUUACUAAUCUUGAACGAGGAAUUCCUAGUAAACGCAGAUCAUCAAUCUGCAUUGAUUACGUCCCUGCCCUUUGUACACACCGCCCGUCGCACCUACCGAUUGGAUGGUCCGGUGAAGCCUCGGGAUUGUGGUUCUUGCCGCUUUAUUGUGGCGUGACCGCGAGAACUUGUCUAAACCUUAUCAUCUAGAGGAAGGUGAAGUCGUAACA